rnacentral:rRNA from 1 species
GAUGAACGCUGGCGGCGUGCCUAAUACAUGCAAGUCGAGCGAACGGACGAGAAGCUUGCUUCUCUGAUGUUAGCGGCGGACGGGUGAGUAACACGUGGAUAACCUACCUAUAAGACUGGGAUAACUUCGGGAAACCGGAGCUAAUACCGGAUAAUAUUUUGAACCGCAUGGUUCAAAAGUGAAAGACGGUCUUGCUGUCACUUAUAGAUGGAUCCGCGCUGCAUUAGCUAGUUGGUAAGGUAACGGCUUACCAAGGCAACGAUGCAUAGCCGACCUGAGAGGGUGAUCGGCCACACGGGAACUGAGACACGGUCCAGACUCCUACGGGAGGCAGCAGUAGGGAAUCUUCCGCAAUGGGCGAAAGCCUGACGGAGCAACGCCGCGUGAUUGAUGAAGGUCUUCGGAUCGUAAAACUCUGUUAUUAGGGAAGAACAUAUGUGUAAGUAACUGUGCACAUCUUGACGGUACCUAAUCAGAAAGCCACGGCUAACUACGUG